rnacentral:rRNA from 1 species
CAGCAGCCGCGGUAAUACGGAGGGUGCAAGCGUUAAUCGGAAUUACUGGGCGUAAAGCGCACGCAGGCGGUCUGACAAGUCAGAUGUGAAAUCCCCGGGCUUAACCUGGGAACUGCAUUUGAAACUGUCAGGCUGGAGUCUUGUAGAGGGGGGUGGAAUUCCAGGUGUAGCGGUGAAAUGCGUAGAGAUCUGGAGGAAUACCGGUGGCGAAGGCGGCCCCCUGGACAAAGACUGACGCUCAGGUGCGAAAGCGUGGGGAGCAAACAGGAUUAGAUACCCCAGUAGUCCCCUGUCUCUUAUA